GGCUGGUCCGAUGGUAGUGGGUACACAGAAGUUAUUACUGUUAGUUAAACUAACCUCUCUAUGUUCCGCCCCACUGCUAACCUUGACUGGUCUUUU
rnacentral:Y_RNA from 1 species